rnacentral:rRNA from 1 species
UACGGAGGAUCCGAGCGUUAUCCGGAUUUAUUGGGUUUAAAGGGUGCGCAGGCGGGAGAUUAAGUCGGCGGUGAAAUUUGCAGCUCAACUGUAAAAGUGCCAUCGAUACUGGUUUCUUGAGUGUGGAUGAAGUAGGCGGAAUUUGUGGUGUAGCGGUGAAAUGCAUAGAUAUCACGAGGAACUCCGAUUGCGCAGGCAGCUUACUAGGCCAUAACUGACGCUCAGGCACGAAGGCGUGGGGAUCGAAACAGGAUUAGAUA